UGGGGCGUAGCCAAGCGGUAAGGCACCGGAUUCUGGAUCCGGGAUACGUUGGUUCGAAUCCACCCGCCCCAG
rnacentral:tRNA from 1 species